rnacentral:lncRNA from 1 species
GCUGGUUUGUUGCCAAGGCAGUAGAGGUCUCUUGUGUUAACAUAGGUGCCAUUUUGCAGCUGAUAAACACAAGUCACUUCCCGAUGCUGGAUACCUUUUUCACAAGUGGCAGAGCAGGGACUCCAAAGGCCAGUCACCCACCGUGACUGGCAGGGGUGUGUGUUACAUUUCCUGACCUGGGGCUCAGGGCGAUUCACUCGUUGGCAGUCACUGUCAUUCACCACUGUCAUGGUCUUGUUAAUAAUUCGAGUACAGGACACAAUUGUUUUCCGUUCACCUCCUCCACAUUGCACACUACACCCUUCCCAUCCACUGUGUG